UCUGGAUGCGCGUGCACUGUUGUGCUGUGGAAUAUUGUGGGUCAGUGUCGAGAAGGAGAAUGGAAGGAGAUGGUACACUUUCUGUCAAAGAAAAAAAUGUCAUCCCUCCCAAUCUACCGUUGAGGCAAAACGUAGCCUACUUUUUUCUUUCUUCCUUCCUUCCUUUCCUUUCUGUUCUCAUGCUACCGUUUAGACUCGGCUAUCUCACUCUCUGUCUCUUGCACUCACACCGUCAGUCUUUCUCGCUCUCCCUCCCUUCCUCCGCCACUCUUCUCGAUUUGUCCUUCAGCUCUGUCAGUGCACAGUCCAUAUUCUCUGAUCCUUCUAUAGCAGUUUGAUCAGGCUCCCUCAGUCAAACAUAGCAUGGCCAGGUAGGGAGGGACGGUUAGCCGUGAGAUGGCGCAUUUCAAUGCUAAAUCAUCAGUUUAUACAGUCUUCUAAUAAGAAGGGUUGAAGUCUUUUUUUUUUUUUCUUUUUUUUUUUUACCUGCCCUUUUUCCUUUUUGGUAUUUCUUCCUCCUCUUAUCCUCUUCCUCCCAUUCGGAGUGAGAGAGGCAGCAUCUCCCAUGACCCUCCUCUCCUCUCUGCAUCCCUAAACUCUCCAUCGCUGAUUCAGCUCCCAGGGAAGGGACGGACACUCUGCCUGCAGCAGCCGCAACGCAUGGGCCACCACCCCUCCGGAUCACCCCCCACCGCUUUAUUGUUUUACUCCUCUUUGGCGCAUUGGCCCAUCUGAAGACGGGGACACUACCUGACAGCUAUCCACUAGGACUCAGGAGCUGUCCCGCUUCCGUGGGACCUCACACCAAAAAUGCUUUGCUAAAGCUGGUAAAAUGGAACCAAAUCAACUGUUCAAUGGAUUUGGUCCCCUUCAACCAGCUGUAGCUGUGCAUUGAUCACUCCGGAUCAUUCAAGAGAGACCACGAAUGGUUGAGAUAGACACCAACACGGCAUCUGAUUCAAUGACUGACAGCAGGCCCCACCAGAGAGCAGAGACACUGUGUCAGGAAUGGUCCCACCUAUCCAGAAGCACUGUUGGCCGACCCAGUUGACCCUUCAGACCAGAACAGAGUAGGCUCCGACUGUGGGUAAAUCUAUUUGUACACCAGAAGGGAUAUUCCCUUUUUAGUGAAAAACAAUCCAGGUAAGUAUUACUGCAUACUAUUAGUAACUGUUCUGUAUUUAUAUAAUUAUAUUAUUGCUAAGCUUGGUAAACAACGGUACACAGAGAGGCCAUUUCCUAAGGUGAGGGUGCAUGUGUUCGGGGUGAAGCAAGACUCUCCCUCUCUGAGUCUUAAUGCACAUGUCUGAUCAAUAAAAAUCUAUCCUGAA